CUAAAAGCUAACAAGAUUGUUGUUGAUUUGGGGUUGCUAAAACGUGGUAGCGUCGUAGAUAACAGUAAUUUAAAAGAGGCCAAAUAAGCAUAAAAAUAGCCAGAAAAUCACAUAUUUUUCUCAGCUUUUCGGAAAAUCGGACGAACGAAGCUACUAAGAAUCUACUGGCUAGCACAGAAAGGGGCGGGACUUCCUCCUUCCGUUGGACCAAAGACGUAUAUGUUCGUCACUUCGGGCGCAGGCGGUCUUUCAUUCACAGCAACGCUUGGUUGAAGUCUCCGUGCUCGUCUCGGAUCCAUUGAAGCUGCUCCAGGUGGCAGAGGGGAGGCCGCUGACUUAAGCCUCCGAGGACGAUGAGGUGGUGCUGAGAUCGAAGCUCAGUGGGACCUGGUUGGGCAGGAGAGCUGGUAAAAAUGAGCAGAGCUAGCUGGAUAAGGAACCAGAGACCGCACUGUUCCAGCUGAGCUGUGGACCCUGGACAGUGAAAGGAGAGAGACUGAAGACAUGGAAGGUGGCUGGACAAAGAUCCAACCCAUAAGGAAGUCACAUUUCAGAUGGUGCUGAGCUCAGAGAUGCAGUGUGACAUGGUUGGAUUAGAGACUUCAACCUAAUACAACAGUCCUGUAUUGAAACUUCCUCCAGGAAGCUGAUAAUGUUCAGUUUGUGUUCAGACUGUUAAAUGGAGGUGCUAAUUCAGCUGUACCCUAACUAAUAAACAAAUUGCAUGUC